rnacentral:rRNA from 1 species
GACGAACGCUGGCGGCGUGCUUAACACAUGCAAGUCGAACGGAAAGGCCCUGCUUUUGUGGGGUGCUCGAGUGGCGAACGGGUGAGUAACACGUGAGUAACCUGCCCUUGACUUUGGGAUAACUUCAGGAAACUGGGGCUAAUACCGGAUAGGAGCUCCUGCUGCAUGGUGGGGGUUGGAAAGUUUCGGCGGUUGGGGAUGGACUCGCGGCUUAUCAGCCUGUUGGUGGGGUAGUGGCUUACCAAGGCUUUGACGGGUAGCCGGCCUGAGAGGGUGACCGGCCACAUUGGGACUGAGAUACGGCCCAGACUCCUACGGGAGGCAGCAGUGGGGAAUAGUGCACAAUGGGCGGAAGCCUGAUGCAGCAACGCCGCGUGCGGGAUGACGGCCUUCGGGUUGUAAACCGCUUUCGCCUGUGACGAAGCGUGAGUGACGGUAAUGGGUAAAGAAGCACCGGCUAACUACGUG